UACGUAGGCAGCAAGCGUUGUUCGGAGUUACUGGGCGUAAAGGGUGCGUAGGCGGCUUUUUUAAGUUUGGUGUGAAAUCUCCCGGCUCAACUGGGAGGGUGCGCCGAAUACUGAGAGGCUAGAGUGUGGGGAGAGGAAAAGUGGAAUUCCUGGUGUAGCGGUGAAAUGCGUAGAUAUCAGGAGGAACACCAACAGCGAAGGCAGAUCUCUGGGACGUUACUGACGCUGAGACGCGAAAGCGUGGGGAGCAAAACAGG
rnacentral:rRNA from 1 species